rnacentral:rRNA from 1 species
GACGAACCGUGCGAACGUUGUUCGGAAUCACUGGGCUUAAAGGGCGCGUAGGCGGGUCACCAAGUCCGGGGUGAAAUCUUUCGGCUUAGCCGGAAAACAGCCUUGGAUACUGGUGACCUCGAGGGAGGUAGGGGUCUGCGGAACUUCUGGUGGAGCGGUGAAAUGCGUUGAUACCGGGAGGAACACCCGCGGCGAAGGCGGUUCUCUGGGAAUAUUCUGACGCUGAGGAGCGAAAGUGUGGGGAGCGAACAGG